GCUGAGUGCCAUUAGAUCAGUCAUGCACUUGGCCGUCGGCGGGAGGUGAUUUCAUUUUCCUUUCUGAAGACAAAGGAUUUGUCCGGUUGGAAUAUUAUCGAAGAUGUAUGAUAAAAACAUCCUAAAGAUUGAUGCUAUACAUCGUUUGACAUAGUAUAACUUUUUGGACUUUUGUAGUAUAACUUUUGGACUUUUCGUCUCAACAAAAUGCGCGAGCAUGGCGCAUUUGGAUAACUCGACUGAACGCGCGAACAAAACGGAGGUAUUUGGACAUAAAUAUGGAGUUUAUCGAACAAAACGAACAUUUCUUGUGGAAGUGGGAGUCCUGGGAGUGCAUUCCGACGAAGAUCAGCAAAGGUAAGUGAAGAUUUAUAAUACUAUUUCAGACUUUUUUGGACUCCAGAACUUGGCGGGUAACUGUAUAGCUUGCUUUGAUGGCUAAGCUCUGUACUCAGAAUUUUGAAAAAUGUGCUUUCGCCAUAAAGCUAUUUUGAAAUCUGACACAGCGGUUGCAUUAAGGAGAAGUGUAUCUAUAAUUCUUUCAAUAACUGUUGUAAAGUUUAUCAACGUUUAUGAUGAGUAUUUUUGUAAAUUGAUGUGCUUAUUCACCGGAAAUUUUGGAGGCAAUACAUUUUCUGAACAUUACGCGUCAAUGUAAAAUGGGGUUUUUGGAUAUAAAUAUGAACUUUAUCGAGCAAAACAUACAUGUAUUGUGUAACAUGAAGUCCUAUGAGUGCCAUCUGAUGAAGAUCAUCAAAGGUUAGUGAUUAAUUUUAGCUGUAUUUCUGUUUUUUUGUGAUGCCUCUCCUUGCUUGGAAAAUGGCUGUGUGGUUUUUCUUGUCAAGGUGAUGUGCUAACAUAAUCUAAUGCUAUGCUUUCGCCGUAAAGCCUUUUUGAAAUCGGACAAUGUGGUUGGAUUAAUGAGAAUCUUAUCUUUAAAAUGGGAUAUAAUAGUUGUAUGUUUGAGAAAUUUGAAUUAUAAGAUUUUUGUCGUUUGAAUUUGGCGCCCUGCUAUUUCACUGGCUGUUGAAUAGUGUGUCCCGCCGGUGGAACGGUCACGUCCCACCUACCCAAGAGAGGUUUUAAAUGUGGAAGAUGCAUUCAGUUGUACAACUGCCUAGGUAACCCCCUUAUUGGUAUUUGGCACCUCCAUUAGCAAGAGUGUAUGAAAUGGAGUUUUAUUUCACACUACGGUAAGCAACAACAAAAAAAGUGUUAACUUGAUUUGCUUCUUCAACUGAUAUUCCACACAAAAACAGCCAAUUAAUUUAUUGGAAUUAAUAUAACAUGCAGAAUUAAAUGUGGGCAUUACAAGAAAGACAGAGUAAUAACCAGGAGGCUGUUUGACACAGCCCCCCUGAAAAACGUAACAUAUUGGGGUUAGUAGAACCCUGAAAAACGUGACAUAUUGGGGUUAGUAGAACCCUGAAAAACGUAACAUAUUGGGGUUAGUAGAACCCUGAAAAACGUGACAUAUUGGGGUUAGUAGAACCCUGAAAAACAUAACAUAUUGGGGUUAGUAGAACCCUGAAAAACGAAACAUAUUGGGGCUUGUAGAACCCUGAAAAACAUAACAUAUUGAGGUUAGUAGAACCCUGAAAAACAUAACAUAUUGGGGUUAGUAGAACCCUAAAAAACGAAACAUAUUGGGGCUUGUAGAACCCUGAAAAACGUAACAUAUUGAGGUUAGUAGAACCCUGAAAACAUAACAUAUUGGGGUUAGUAGAACCCUGAAAAACAAAACAUAUUGGGGCUAGUAGAAUCCUGAAAAAACAGAACAUAUUGGGGUUAGUAGAACACCAGCUGAGUAUUUUCCACCCCAGUUUAUUUGAGACAGGUAGAAAGGUUUUCUCUUUACCCGUUUGUGGUCUUAAAAUGACAAAACUAUGAAAUCACAUGAAUAUGCUUUUGGGCCAUAUAUUUGCCACAUAUUUGGAGAUAGGCUGACAGUGACAACAUAACAUUCUAAAAGUGUAGCUGUCCACGGCGCUGAUAUGUGUCUCAUUGUUCAAAUGUCAGCAUAAAGCUUCCUAUGACUUAGCUUUUUGUUCAAACUCACUGGUUUUGUAUUCUAAGGACUCAAGUGAGCAGACUGGACCCUGGUUUUUCCUUU
rnacentral:lncRNA from 1 species